CCUACGGGAGGCAGCAGUGGGGAAUUUUGGACAAUGGGCGCAAGCCUGAUCCAGCAAUGCCGCGUGAGUGAAGAAGGCCUUCGGGUUGUAAAGCUCUUUUGUCAGGGAAGAAACGGCAGUUUCUAAUACAGAUUGCUAAUGACGGUACCUGAAGAAUAAGCACCGGCUAACUACGUGCCAGCAGCCGCGGUAAUACGUAGGGUGCAAGCGUUAAUCGGAAUUACUGGGCGUAAAGCGUGCGCAGGCGGUUUUGUAAGUUUGUCGUGAAAUCCCCGGGCUCAACCUGGGAAUGGCGAUGAAGACUGCAAGGCUAGAAUCUGGCAGAGGGGGGUAGAAUUCCACGUGUAGCAGUGAAAUGCGUAGAGAUGUGGAGGAACACCGAUGGCGAAGGCAGCCCCCUGGGUCAAGAUUGACGCUCAUGCACGAAAGCGUGGGGAGCAAACAGGAUUAGAUACCCUGGUAGUCCACGCCCUAAACGAUGUCUACUAGUUGUCGGGUUUUAAUUAACUUGGUAACGCAGCUAACGCGUGAAGUAGACCGCCUGGGGAGUACGGUCGCAAGNUUAAAACNCAAAGGAUUGACGGNNGAGAGNGCGACGACGACGACGAGGGAGGAGG
rnacentral:rRNA from 1 species